AAACACCAACUGAACGAAAAGAAAAAAAGAAAAAAGAAAAACCGAACUGAACAAAAAAAAAAAGUUGUCUCGUCUUCGUCUCCACCGUGUUUGUUGAUCCUUUG
rnacentral:ribozyme from 14 species